GGGUCCACUGGAGAAUUCGUAUUGUGCCGCUAGAGGUGAAGUCCUUGGACCGACGCAAGACGGACGAAAGCGAAAGCAUUUGCCAAGAAUGUUUUCAUU
rnacentral:ncRNA from 1 species